rnacentral:tRNA from 1 species
GCUAGAGUGGCAGAGCCCGGUAAAUGCAA